rfam:Oryza sativa Japonica Group DNA, chromosome 2, cultivar: Nipponbare, complete sequence.
AAUAAACGCAGCCAUGAGUUUUCGUAUCCAAUUUAGAUCAUCCGUCUUAUUUGAAUUUUUUUAGAUUAAUAUUUUUGUUGUUAUUAGGUUAUAAAAUAUGAAUAGUAAUUUAUACGUGACUUAUGCUUUUAAUUUUUUUUAAAAAAAUUAAAUAAGACAAAUAAUUAAAGUUGGGCACGAAAACUUAUGGCAACAAUGCAA